rnacentral:lncRNA from 1 species
AAACACAUAAGCAUCAAACACUCAAAGACAACAUUUCAACAACAACAACAAUUUCAUCAUAGAUUCACGCAAGUCCUAACUCCCUAAUCAUGGAUUCUAUCCCCCAAAAGCUAAAUCCUAUCUAAGAACUAACCUUGGAGAUGAAGAUGGUGAAAUAGAGAUGAGGUUGGUGAUGAUGAUGAGAUGAUGGUGGUGAAUGUUUCCAUGGCUUUUCUCUUCUUCUUCCUUCCUUCCUCUUCUUUUCUUCUUUU